rnacentral:rRNA from 1 species
UGAGGAACAUGACCUUCGGCGGGGAUAGCCGGCCCAACGGCCGGGUAAUACCGCGUACGACCACAUGGGGACAUCCCCGAGUGGUGAAAGCAGCAAUGCGCCGAAAGAGUGCCUCGCGGCCUAUCAGCUAGUUGGUGGGGUAAUGGCUCACCAAGGCGACGACGGGUAGCUGGUCUGAGAGGAUGGCCAGCCACAUUGGGACUGAGACACGGCCCAGACUCCUACGGGAGCAG